rnacentral:lncRNA from 1 species
GUUUUCUUUUUUUUUUUUUUUUACAAACUAAACUGUCAUCUCUUUAUUCAAUAAGAUGUGUCUUUACAAGUUUAAAAAGACUGGACACCAUUAUCCUUUAUGAAUAAUGCAGAUAACCAUUUUAAAAAACAUUUUACUUGGUCGGGCACAGUGGCUCACACCUGUAAUCCCAGCACUUUGGGAGGCCAAGGCAGGGGCAGAUCACGAGGUCAGGAGUUCAAGACCAGCGUGACGUGACCAAUAUGGUGAAACCCUGUCUCUACUAAAAAUACAAAAAUUAGCUGGGUGUGGUGGCAUAUGCUUGUAAUCCCAGCUACUUGGGAAGCUGAGGCAGGAGAAUCACUUGAACCCGGGAGGCAGAGGAUGCAGUGAGCUGAGAUCGCCACUGCACUCCAGCCUGGGUGACAGAGCAAGACUCCAUCUCAAAGAAACAAACAAAACCACUUUACUGACUGUAUUGUGACACGUUUAUUAAGCAUGAACCCCUAUCAGUACUCCUAAACUGUAAACAAUGAGGAACUAAGGUGUCAAAAGAAACACAUUAGGGAUCAUAUUAAUAGACAAAAACCUUUACAUUUUCUUAUUGCAUUUACACAAUCAACACACAAUAAGCAAAACUGAAUCCUUUCUAAGCAAACAUUUUUGCAUAUACUGCCUUCUCUUUAUCUUUCUGUGCCUUUAUCUUUUGUUUGACUUUCAGCAGUUCUGCCUGGAUAGCUUUAUCUUCUGGUGCUAUCUCCUGUGCUUUCUUAAGAUCAGCCAAUGCUUGAUCAUAUUCUUUUAAUCCUUGCCAUCCUUGAGCUCUGCGGUACAAUGCUUUGGUAUUUGAUGGGUCUAUUUCAAGAGCCUCCAAACAACUGUCAAUUGCUCCCUGCCAAUUUGACAUCUUCAGUUUACAAGCACCAAUAUUCAGUACACAGCUUAAAGCUAUAGGUUGCAGCUUGGCUCUAUCUGCUGUCUCAAUAACAGCCUUUGAACUGUCCACGUAUCUUAAAACUUUUGCAUAUUUUUUAAUGGCCAUCUCCCAGUUCUGGGAUUUGAAAAAAGUAUUUCCAAUAUUUUUUAAGUCUUCUGUUAUUAAUAAAAAUUUAUCUACGUCUUUUAAAUCUACAUCCGCAUCCUCAGGGAAAUCUGGAUGACUGUCGCCAGAGCCAUCUUUUGGGAAUAUUCCCCAGUCAUCUCCUUCCUUCAAUUCUCCACAUUCUGCAAUAAUGCACAAUUUAGCAGGUUUUUCACCUUUCACUUCCACAUUUUCCAAUAUCCUUGUCACUCCUAUUCCUUUAAUUACUUGGCCAAACACCACAUGUUUCCCAUCCAAAUGAGGAGUUGGAACUGUUGUGAUAAAAAACUGAGAACCAUUUGUGUUAUGGCUCGCGUUUGCCAUGCUCAGUAAACCCUCCGAUCAUGCUUAUAGUGGAAAUUUUCAUCUUCAAAUUUUUCACCAUAAAUACUUUCUCCACCUGUCCCAUUCUGAUUUGAGAAGUCUCCACCCUGAAUCAUAAAUUUCUUAAUAAUUCGAUGAAAAGGGCAUCCUUUGAAAUGGAGAGGUUUCCCAGUCGUGGGUCCAAUGCCUUUUUCUCCUGUACACAGUGCACGAAAAUUUUCCGAAGUUUUGGGUACAAUAUCUGCAAACAAUUCUAAGACAAUUCGACCAACUCGCUCCCCUCCUAUGUCCACGUCAAAGAAGACUCGAGGGUUACUGGGGUUGGAGGGCUUGACUUGGGGGGACGGAUGCGACAUCUCGACUUGCAGACGCGUUUGGACGCAGGAUCCCCGCACCUCGUGGCCGCCCGGCACCUCAAACUCCAGAGCGCUAGUCUCCGCC